GCCAAAACUGGUGUUUAUGUUGAUUAAAUGUUGAUCUACUGUUCUGUGAAGCUAUCUGGUUCCUGUAAGGGGCGGACCAUUGGAAAUCCCGGGAGGGGGGGGGGGUGUGAAAAUUCUCCCAAAAAAAUUCGUGUAAAGAAAAAUGCCUGGAAAAAAAUUUCGUGCAGCCAUUACGUCAGAGAAAAAAAAUUAGUGCAAGCAAACAGUAAAGUACAAAUAGUCUUGAAAAAAAAUUCGUGCAGAGGUUAAAUGCAUUAAAAAAAUCCUGCAGAGACAUGAGACUGAAAAAAAAAUUCGUGCAGCAAAAAUUUUAUUCCCCCCCCCC